ensembl:lncRNA CCDC26 CCDC26 long non-coding RNA
ACAGUGCUACUGGCCCAUAAUCAGGCAACUGCAGAGUCUUAGGGGGUUAUCUAAUGUAGUCUUGGGGUGGCUGGAUAGACUUCCCAAAGAAGGUGAUGCCGAAGCUGAGGUCGGAAAUUACGAAGAUCAGCUAUCAAACUUGGAAAUCAUGUCUUAGAGAUCAAGGAGCCAAGAGAUGAGACAAGCCUGGGUUCCUAGGUGAUAGGGUGUGGCUGUGUCCCCACCCAAAUCUCGUCUUGAAUUGUAGCUCCCAUAAUCCCCACAUGUUGUGGAGGGACCCUGUGGAAGGAAGGCCUGAGGAGAGAAGACACAUAGUCAUGCUGACUAAACCAGAUCACCUAGAAUUACCAAAUGGAAAGGCUACACAGAAGCACUGCUGAUUUCAGCCCUGGCAGGACUCCUGUUUAAACAUACUUCCCAGAAAUCUUGGGCAGCUUGCCAUGGCAUUGUGUUAAGAAAAGGAUUGGUAGACAGAGAGAUGCACUGUUGAGAUUACCCUUCAGGAAGGACUUGCUACCGACUACAGGGGACAGGAAUCAGCAGACAUCCUCCAGCCAUCAGCUUCUUCAGGAUCUACCUCAGCGUCAAGGAACCACCUGACCUGAGGUCUCAUUCUUCCUUGGGCAGACUACAUCUUAUAACAAAGUGAGGUAAGGGCAUAAAAACCGCUCAGGUGGGGUCACUGAGGGAUACUCUGACAGGUAAUACUAACUCGAGAACUCCCCACCAAGCUGACUCUUGGUUUAGUGUGCAUUGCAUUAGUGAUCUUGAAAGGCAAUAGCAAGGAAGAAAGCUCCUGCCCAGAGCUUUGAGCAUUGCCCCUGGUUAUCCAUUUUAUGGAUAUCCAUUUUGUGAGAAAAGAUAAUUGGCCAAGGUUAGAAUAUAUAUGGACACAUGGACAGGUGUAAAUGGCCUGGCAGGCUGGUCAGUGAUGUGGAAAGAAAGGCAUUGGAAGACCAGAGGCAGGAGUUUUGGCUACAGGCAUAUGAAUGUGCAUUUGGAAGUAGGCACAAUGUAUCAUUGUACAACAGAUGAACAGCCACCUGAGAGUACCUACCAUCAGAAAGGCACUAAGCAGCCAAGGAGACAAAAUGAUUAGUUAGUUGAUAUCAACCAGCUUCUUUCAUCAGCAACCCCAGUGUUGGUGUGAUAGGCACAUGAGCGAUGUGGCCAAGGUGGCAGAGAUGGAGAUUACGCACAAGUCCUACGGCAUGGACUCCCACUGACCAAGGCUGACGAGCUACUGAAAUGGCAUGGCAAUGGAUGUUGGAUGAUCCAGCAGAAGAAAUAAAACAAUGAACUCUUGACAUAGCACCAAUCCUUGACAAGAUGAGUUGACCACAUCAGGCCUAUUCUGUUCUAGAUAAACCAGUGGUUCAUUCUCACAGGAACAGACACAAUAUUUUGGGUUAGUAUUAGCCUUUAUUACCUUUGAAAUUUAAGCAACGACCACGAUUUGAAUGCUUACAGCAUGAUAUGCUAGUGUGGGAUUCCUAACAUUGUAUCAACCCAGAAGACCCACUUUAUAGCAAAGGAGGGCUGGAGGUGUUCUUGUGUUGAGCAACAGUGCACUCUCCUAGGUGAUACCUCUCAGUCCCAUGGCAUAAUUUGUGACACUAUUUUACAACUGUUGGUUCAUAAAUACAUACUAGGCAUUCCUGAUCCAAGUGUCUUGUUUUCCCAGCUCUCUAGAGCAGGUUUUUGGACAAGAAGAUAGUCACCCCUAUUUUAACGCCCUGCUCCUGCCAGAGGACAAUUCUGUACUAUUCUGUGCAAUAGUGCUUAUCAAAUUAGCAUUAACAGCUUAGGAAUGAUUAGAAUAAUAAUAGUAAUCAUUAAAAUUUAGGAAACAUUUGGGGAUUUGAAGUUAGGACUCAAAAUUCAUUAGGUUUAUUGAUAUAAUUUAUCAGUCAUAAAACAAGAUCUUACAUGAGUUCUGUGCACACUUGUUUUUCCAUAAAUGUACUUGUGAUAAUGGACAAUAAUGAAAAAAUAUGCCCAGGGAUUCUGGAGACAUGGCUUAAAAUCAGAUGCAAUGACUUUGACUUUUCUUCAUGCCUCAUGUCUCAUUUUAAAAUUUUAUGUAAAUUUUGUCUUUUUAUUUUAUAAUAUAUCCAUUUAUGUCUUGUUAUAAAACAAUCUAUCUCCAAAUCUUAAUAAAAAUAAAUGUUCAAAGAA